AAGACUAUAGACCUGCGGAGUACCUGCGGAAGGAUCAUUACCGAGUAUCGGGUGCUCUCGCGCUCUACUCCCACCCUGUGCUUAUCUAUAACUGUUGCUUUGGCGGGCCGGUGGGUCACCCACCGCCGGGCGGCGCCUGGAGAGCGCCCGCCAGAGGACCAAGCAAAACUCUUUGUCAACAUGGUCGCAUCUGAGCACGCGAGAAUGAACAAAACUUUUAACAACGGAUCUCUAGAUCGG
rnacentral:misc_RNA from 1 species